GGAGGGGGCGAGUGUUGUUCGGAAUUACUGGGCGUAAAGGGCGCGCAGGCGGCAUGGCAAGUCGAGUGUGAAAUCCCCCGGCUUAACUGAGGAAUGGCGCUCGAAACUACCUCGCUAGAGGGCGGGAGAGGGAAGUGGAACUCUCGGUGUAGGGGUGAAAUCUGUAGAUAUCGAGAGGAACACCGGUGGCGAAGGCGGCUUCCUGGCCCGUACCUGACGCUGAGGCGCGAAAGCGUGGGGAGCAAACAGGAUUAGAUACCCUGGUAGUCCACGCCCUAAACGAUGGGCACUAGGUGUGGGCGGUAUUAAUCCCGUCUGUGCCGUAGCUAACGCAUUAAGUGCCCCGCCUGGGGAGUACGGUCGCAAGGCUGAA
rnacentral:rRNA from 1 species